CGUCGAGUUGCACAACAUUGCAGAACAUAUGGUUUCAGUGCCGCACAGACAAAUUCGCGGUUUUUGUUUUAGUUUACCGUGUUUGCAAUGCCAAAAAUAACAACAAAGACAAGCUUUUGCUGGAGGCACUUUACAAAAGUUGACGGAAAUAGCGCAAAAUUGAAAACAUCGAUGCAUCGAUGUUUCUAGCCGAUGUUUCGACCCAAAUUUACAUCACUACCGCAGAGCAGUCUGCGACGCAUGAGGUGCCGAUGCUCUAACCGACUCUCCCUCGCUCAUUCUCUUUCUUUUAGUAUAUUAGCGCUGAGAAGGUGCUGUUUUUUUUGCUGAUGAAAGAGUUAUUUAGUGAUAAGAGCGCUGAAAGAGUAAUGAAUUUGUGCCAGAUUUGUGCAGUGAUGAAUCGUAGGACAUGCCUAUGUUAAAUUCAUUACUAUUUAUAAAACCUUUUUUCGAAAAAAAGGCUUGGAAAUGAUUUGAUUGCAGUGAUUAGCUGCAAACACUUUAAAGCAGAGGCCAACCUUUCUGAAGAAACGCCCACGGUCUGACCGUGACAAAAUUUUUCACGGUUGUACUUUUGCCAGCCAAAUAUAAUAUAUCGGAAAACUCACCAAAAAAUAUAAUUUUUCGAUAUUUUGGUCUAAA